rfam:Camelus ferus isolate Naran unplaced genomic scaffold scaffold44304, whole genome shotgun sequence.
GGAACUAUGACUCAGUACAGAGCACAUGUCUAGGAUGUGUGAGGUCCUGGGUUCAAGCCCCAGUACCUCCA